GCGUGAGUGGUACCUGGGUUGCUUGCGUAAAUAGACUCUCUGCACGGGCAGCGAACUGUUUGGCAACAUCCCUUCUCAUUAUUUGCUUCAGGAGCCAAUGCUGGCCUUGGAAUGGAUGGUUUCUUGUGUUGAAUGCCCCUACGGUUUGGCACUAUAAUGUCCCAUCGAAAAAAAUUCCCCUCGGCAUCCCUCGGGAAUGGCGGCGAGUGGACUUUUCAUGCGGGGUUUGUUGUCCGUCCACCCAUGGACAAAAUUGUUGUGGGUGAGUGGCCAAUGUUCCUCGGCAGUUCUCUAGGGUGUGGAAUAUUGCUUGGGCGGUGAUCAAUCUCAUCUUCCCAACUAUGAUAUCUCGAAAUGAACGACGGUUUGUAUGUGCGUUGAGCGCUAGUUUUCACUGGUGGCUCAUGCGCAUCGACGUCGCAUGAGGAA
rnacentral:misc_RNA from 1 species